rnacentral:lncRNA from 1 species
UUAUUAGCACACAACCCCAAAUCUUAACAUGCUUAAGAUUUGUCUUUCUUUCCAACUACAUCCUAUGGAGUCAUGAAAGUUUUGGUAGAUCUUCUAAUUGACAAUCAUAUUGUUUUUAGAAGUAUAUAUCCUAUAUAUAUGGGUAAUAGAUAACAUCCAACGAACUAAAUCUUAUUCGAGUUAGUUCUUCUCCUAAUGGAGAAAUCCAUUAUCAUAUGAUGCUUCUUUCCUUGACAUCGUUCAAGGAAACUGUUCUUAAAGUGUU